UUAAGCAUAUCAAUAAGCGGAGGAAAAGAAACCAACAGGGAUUGCCCUAGUAACGAGCGAGUGAAGCGGCGAACAGCUCAAAUUUGAAAUCUGGCUCCUUCGGGGCCCGAGUUGUAAUUUGCAGAGGAUGCUUCGGGUGCGGGUACCUACUGAGUUCCCUGGAACGGGACGCCAUAGAGGGUGAGAGCCCCGUCUGGUAGGACACCCAGCCCAUGUGAAGCUCCCUCGACGAGUCGAGUAGUUUGGGAAUGCUGCUCUAACGGGAGGUAUACUCCUUCCAAGGCUAAAUACCGGCUGGAGACCGAUAGCGCACAAGUAGAGUGAUCGAAAGAUGAAAAGCACUUUGAAAAGAGAGUCAAAUAGCACGUGAAAUUGUUGAAAGGGAAGCGCUCGCUACCAGACUUGGGUUCGGCGGUUCAACCGGGGCCACGCCCCGGGGCACUCCGCCGUCCCAGGCCAGCAUCAGCUUUCCGUCGGGGGCAAAGACGUCGGGAAUGUGGCUCCCCUCCGGGGGAGUGUUAUAGCCCGGCGUGUCAUACCCUUCGGGGGGCUGAGGUACGCGCUUCUGCAAGGAUGCUGGCGUAAUGGUAGCUAGUGACCCGUCUUGAAACACGGACCAAGGAGUCGACCUUAUGUGCGAGUGCCCGGGCGUAAAACCCCAGCGCGGAAUGAAAGUGAACGUAGGUGAGAGCUUCGGCGCAUCACCGACCGAUCCAGAUGUCCUCGGACGGAUUUGAGUGAGAGCAUAUAGGGUCGGACCCGAAAGAAGAUGAACUAUGCGUGUGUAGGGUGAAGCCAGAGGAAACUCUGGUGGAGGCUCGCAGCGGUUCUGACGUGCAAAUCGAUCGUCAAACAAUGCGCAUGGGGGGCGAGAGACUAAUCGAAUCUUCCUGGUAGCUGGUUUCCGCCGAC
rnacentral:rRNA from 1 species